UGGGGAAUUUUGCACAAUGGGGGAAACCCUCAUCCAGCGUCGCCUCGUGAUUUAGAAGGCCUUCGGGUUGUAAAACUCUUUUGUUUUGGAAGAAAAUGACAGUACCAUACGAAUAAGGACCGGCUAAUUACGUGCCAGCAGCCGCGGUAAUACGUAAGGUCCGAGCGUUGUCCGGAAUCAUUGGGCGUAAAGGGUACGUAGGCGGAUAAGCAAGUUAGAAGUGAAAUCCUAUAGCUCAACUAUAGUAAGCUUUUAAAACUGCUCAUCUUGGGGUAUGGAAGGGAAAGUGGAAUUGCUAGUGGAGCGGUGAAAUGCGCAGGUAGUAGGAGGAAUACCGGUGGCGAAGGCGACUUGCUGGCAAUAUACAGAAGCUGAGGUACGAAAGAGUGGGUAGCAAACAGG
rnacentral:rRNA from 1 species